CACGUAGGGCGCAAGCGUUGUCCGGAAUUAUUGGGCGUAAAGAGCGUGUAGGCGGCCAGACAGGUCCGUUGUGAAAACUGGAGGCUUAACCUUCAGACGUCGAUGGAAACCGUCUGGCUAGAGUCCGGAAGAGGAGAGUGGAAUUCUUGGUGUAGCGGUGAAAUGCGUAGAUAUCAAGAGGAACACCUGAGGUGAAGACGGGUUGCUGGGCUGACACUGACGCUGAGGCGCGAAGGCGUGGGGAGCGAACGGG
rnacentral:rRNA from 1 species